rnacentral:rRNA from 1 species
GGGGAAUAUUGCACAAUGGGGGAAACCCUGAUGCAGCGACGCCGCGUGGAGGAAGAAGGUCUUCGGAUUGUAAACUCCUGUUGUUGGGGAAGAUAAUGACGGUACCCAACAAGGAAGUGACGGCUAACUACGUGCCAGCAGUCGCGGUAAAACGUAGGUCACAAGCGUUGUCCGGAAUUACUGGGUGUAAAGGGAGCGCAGGCGGGAAGACAAGUUGGAAGUGAAAUCUAUGGGCUCAACCCAUAAACUGCUUUCAAAACUGUUUUUCUUGAGUAGUGCAGAGGUAGGCGGAAUUCCCGGUGUAGCGGUGGAAUGCGUAGAUAUCGGGAGGAACACCAGUGGCGAAGGCGGCCUACUGGGCACCAACUGACGCUGAGGCUCGAAAGUGUGGGUAGCAAACAGGAUUAGAUACCCUGGUAGUCCACACCGUAAACGAUGAUUACUAGGUGUUGGAGGAUUGACCCCUUCAGUGCCGCAGUUAACACAAUAAGUAAUCCACCUGGGGAGUACGACCGCAAGGUUGAAACUCAAAGGAAUUGACGGGGGCCCGCACAAGCAGUGGAGUAUGUGGUUUAAUUCGACGCAACGCGAAGAACCUUACCAAGUCUUGACAUCCCUUGACAGGCAUAGAAAUAUGUUUUCUCUUCGGAGCAAGGAGACAGGUGGUGCAUGGUUGUCGUCAGCUCGUGUCGUGAGAUGUUGGGUUAAGUCCCGCAACGAGCGCAACCCUUAUGGUCAGUUACUACGCAAGAGGACUCUGGCCAGACUGCCGUUGACAAAACGGAGGAAGGUGGGGAUGACGUCAAAUCAUCAUGCCCUUUAUGACUUGGGCUACACACGUACUACAAUGGCGUUAAACAAAGAGAAGCAAGACCGCGAGGUGGAGCAAAACUCAGAAACAACGUCCCAGUUCGGACUGCAGGCUGCAACUCGCCUGCACGAAGUCGGAAUUGCUAGUAAUCGUGGAUCAGCAUGCCACGGUGAAUACGUUCCCG